GGUUCCAUAGUGUAGAGGUUAGCAUGUCUGCUUUACAUGCAGAAGGUUCAUGCCCCAGUGGAGCCA
rfam:Pteropus alecto contig32813, whole genome shotgun sequence.